rnacentral:rRNA from 1 species
UACGGAGGGGGCUAGCGUUGUUCGGAAUUACUGGGCGUAAAGCGUGCGCAGGCGGUUAGUUGGGUCUGAGGUGAAAGCCCCGGGCUUAACCUGGGAAUGGCCAUGGAAACUGGCGAGCUGGAGUGUGGCAGAGGGGGGUGGAAUUCCGCGUGUAGCAGUGAAAUGCGUAGAGAUGCGGAGGAACACCGAUGGCGAAGGCAGCCCCCUGGGCUAACACUGACGCUCAGGCACGAAAGCGUGGGGAGCAAACAGG